rfam:Daedalea quercina L-15889 unplaced genomic scaffold DAEQTscaffold_13, whole genome shotgun sequence.
GACACCGUAGCCAAGUGGUUACGGCGACAGAUUCGAAUUUCUUUGUGGAUGAGUAGAUAUCUGUUACUCUAUGAGUGCGUAGGUUCGAGUCCUACCGGUGUCG